rnacentral:rRNA from 1 species
UACGGAGGGUGCGAGCGUUUGUCCGGAAUCACUGGGCGUAAAGGGCGCGUAGGCGAUCUGACAAGUCUGGUGUGAAAGCCCACAUGUUAACUGUGGAAGUGCAUUAGAAACUGUUGGAUUUGAGUUCAGGAGAGGGAUGCAGAAUUCCAGGUGUAGCGGUGAAAUGCGUAGAUAUCUGGAGGAAUACCGGUGGCGAAGGCGGCAUCCUGGACCGACAUUGACGCUGAGGAGCGAAAGCUAGGGGAGCAAACGGG